GCGUGACGGCGCGAGCAGGUGCGAAAGCAGGUCAUAGUGAUCCGGUGGUUCUGAAUGGAAGGGCCAUCGCUCAACGGAUAAAAGGUACUCCGGGGAUAACAGGCUGAUACCGCCCAAGAGUUCAUAUCGACGGCGGUGUUUGGCACCUCGAUGUCGGCUCAUCACAUCCUGGGGCUGAAGUAGGUCCCAAGGGUAUGGCUGUUCGCCAUUUAAAGUGGUACGCGAGCUGGGUUUAGAACGUCGUGAGACAGUUCGGUCCCUAUCUGCCGUGGGCG
rnacentral:rRNA from 1 species